rnacentral:misc_RNA from 1 species
UCCGGUUUGGCACCGGCAGUCCCCCCAGAGUCCCCGGCACGACCCGCUGGUAACUGGGGGCGGGGGUUGCGCUCGUUGCGGGACUUAACCCAACAUCUCACGACACGAGCUGACGACAGCCAUGCAGCACCUGUGCUAAGGCUCCGAAGAGGGGCCGGCGUUUCUGCCGGCUUUCCUUAGCAUGUCAAGCCCAGGUAAGGUUCUUCGCGUUGCGUCGAAUUAAACCACAUGCUCCACCGCUUGUGCGGGCCCCCGUCAAUUCCUUUGAGUUUCAGCCUUGCGGCCGUACUCCCCAGGCGGGGCACUUAAUGCGUUAGCGCCGGCACCCGGGGGGUCGCUCCCCCAGGCACCUAGUGCCCAUCGUUUACGGCGUGGACUAC